CCAUUCAGACCGUCGUCCAUCCCCAAUCUAGUCACUGCUAGCUAGGGAUUGCUCGCCGGCGAUCGCCCCAAUGUCGUCUGAUAUGCUUUCAUAAUCAAUCAGCAUUGUAUCAUAUAUCUCCUCCCUCUUCAGACAGGAAUUUGUCCUCAAGGUUUAAGGACGGAAAGAACGCCGCUAUCUUGGCUACGGUCUCCCAUGAAGAGUCUCCCGAUAAUGAGUCACUCCACUGAAUGAGUACCUGUUUUACUUUGCAUUUUCCUUUCCAAAUGAAUCUUGAAUCCAGUAUUGCGAUUGGGUAUAUCACAUGUCGAUUUUCAACAACAAUUAGUGGUUUUGCAGUAGUGGCAUUUUCUGG
rnacentral:lncRNA from 1 species